UGAUUGUUGGGAAUUAUGAAAUUAGCUAUUCAUAAUUAUAAAUAGAUAUACCUGUUCCGGUAGCUUUGAUGUUUCUGAGUUUUGUUGUUCCAUAGCUUUUUCCAUUGGAGUAUAUUUUUCUAAUUAACUGAGUAAAUUUUUUGUUUGUGGAAUGGAGAGAGAGAUUUGUUUCAAAAGAAGGCUUGCGGCUUGCGGCCUGCUUUCCGCAAUACCUUCGUCCUUUGUAUUUAUAGAACGAANNNNN
rnacentral:lncRNA from 1 species